rnacentral:rRNA from 1 species
AGCCUCACUAAGGUGAAACCGCGAAUGGCUCAUUAAAUCACACCUAAUGUACUGGACAGUCUCAGUUACUUGGAUAACUGCGGUAAUUCUGGAGCUAAUACAUGCGUACUAGCCGCGACUCACGGAGCGGUGCUUUUAUUAGAUCAAAACCAAACGGCCUCGAGCCGUCCCCCUGGUGAUUCUGAAUAACUUUGGGCUGAUCGCACGGACUCGUUCCGGCGACGUGUCCUUCCAAGGUGUGCCCUAUCAACUGUCGACUGUGGCAUAGACGCCCACAGUGGUUUUGACGGGUAACGGGGAAUUAGGGUUCGAUUCCGGAGAGGGAGCCUGAGAAACGGCUACCACUUCUACGGAAGGCAGCAGGCACGCAAAUUACCCACUGGCCGAAGGCCGAGGUAGUGACGAAAAAUAACGAUACCGGACUCAUCCGAGGCCCGGUAAUCGGAAUGAGUACACUUUAAAUCCUUUAACGAGGAACAAUUGGAGGGCAAGUCUGGUGCCAGCAGCCGCGGUAAUUCCAGCUCCAAUAGCGUAUAUUAAAGUUGUUGCGGUUAAAAAGCUCGUAGUUGGAUCUCGGCGGGCAGGGGGUGGUUCGCUCUUCAGCGCUACUGCCCCGCUUUGCCCGUGUGAUUGGCGGAGGUUUCGGGGUGCUCUUCGUUGAGUGACUCGGAGCGCCGUCAGGUUUACUUUGAAAAAAUUAGAGUGCUCAAAGCAGGCUUUUCACGCUUGAAUAUUCGUGCAUGGAAUAAUGGAAUAGGAACUCGUUUCUAUUUUGUUGGUUUUCGGAAAUCGAGUUAAUGAUUAACAGGGACAAUUGGGGGCAUUAGUAUUCAGACGACAGAGGUGAAAUUCUUGGACCGUCUGAAGACUGACUACUGCGAAAGCAUUUGCCAAGAGUGUUUUCAUUAAUCAAGAACGAAAGUUAGAGGUUCGAAGGCGAUCAGAUACCGCCCUAGUUCUAACCAUAAACGAUGCCAGCUAGCGAUCUGCCGAGUUUUUUUUGUAGGCUCCGCAGGAAGCUUUCGGGAAACCAAAGCUUUUGGGUUCCGGGGGAAGUAUGGUUGCAAAGCUGAAACUUAAAGGAAUUGACGGAAGGGCACCACCAGGAGUGGAGCCUGCGGCUUAAUUUGACUCAACACGGGAAAUCUCACCAGGCCCGGACACUGGAAGGAUUGACAGAUUGAGAGCUCUUUCUCGAUUCGGUGGGUGGUGGUGCAUGGCCGUUCUUAGUUGGUGGAGUGAUUUGUCUGGUUAAUUCCGAUAACGAACGAGACUCUGUCCUGCUAAAUAGCUCCGCUAAUGGAUUUCCAUUGGUGUUGAGCUUCUUAGAGGGACGUUCAUUCUACAAGAUGAAGGAAGAUGGCGGCAAUAACAGGUCUGUGAUGCCCUUAGAUGUCCUGGGCCGCACGCGCGUUACACUGAUGCACUCAACGAGCAUAUAACCUUGGCCGAGAGGCCUGGGUAAUCUUGUUAACAUGCAUCGUGAUAGGGAUAGAUUAU